rnacentral:lncRNA from 1 species
AGGCAAGGCCAAGGCUUCUUGAAAGGCUGGUCAUGCCCCAGUGAUCAAUGAAGAACUCAGGGAUAUCCCAAAACUCAGGACUAUAAGGCACAAUGGGGGAGCAGGUACCAGGUGGCCAGCAUCCUAAAUGACUCUCAGCAGCUGCAGAGAAGACCAUAAUGGAUGGAUAUAUAGGCUGACGUAUAUCAGUUGGCUUCAGUUGUUUGGUGAUAUUCACCAGAUCUAUAUUUUGCUAUUUUAUGGAUAUUAUUUUCAAUUUCUGAGUUUUGUCUUUUCCAGAAUGCCGUACAGUUGAAAUCAUACGGUAUAUAGACUUUGCAGGUUUUUAUGCGGACAUGUUUUUUGACUCCUUUGGGCAAAUACCAAGGAGCAAGAUUGCUGGAUCAUAUGGAAAGAGGCAUUACCAUAUCAAAGCCUUUAGCCUUCUUGCAUCACGACAAAAAUUCGAACUUGGUGUUUGAAGAACAUGAAAAAUGAGGAGGAAUAAAAUAAUCAUGAGUCUCCUGGUCAUUAACUGCAUGAAGUUGAGCUGGUCACUUAAGCCAUUCCUAAUAUGUAACUUGAGAGUAUAGUAUUAGAUAUUCAGUAAAUUCCCUUCAAAAUUCAUA